GGCAACACUAGUUUGUCAUCGUGAAGCUGGCACGAUCUGGUCUCUAGUCAGACUUAGUCAGUCUUAUUCUUAUCAAGUGGGUAUACACUUCGUUGUCAGCAACCAGUAUCAGUCAAUUCAUUUCAUACGAACAAAAAUGUUACCACCAACGUACGUGGAAGGGUUUCACGAUUUAGAAGCCGUGAAAGCUAUGGAGUAUAGACCUCUCGGUAACACUGGACUGCUCGUCAGUAAACUUUCCUUCGGGGGCGGACCAUUGGGUUGCCACUAUGGCGCAUACGACGAGGAUGAAGCUAUUGAAGCGAUACGUCAAGGAAUAAAACGGGGUAUUAAUUACAUUGAUACUGGACCAUGGUACGGCCAAGGUCGUUCUGAAACCGUGAUUGGAAAAGCUCUGAAAGGCAUUCCACGCAAAGCAUAUUAUAUUGCAACGAAAGUUGGAAGGUAUGAAUUAAAUUACGAAAACAUGUUUGACUUUUCGAAAGAGAAAACUCGAAAAAGUUUUAAAGACAGUUUAGAACAUUUAGGUUUGGAUUAUGUCGAUGUUAUACAAGUUCACGACAUCGAGUUCGCUCCAAGUUUAGAUAUUAUAAUUACACAAACUUUACCAGAACUGUCGAGCAAAGUCGCGGAUGGUAAAGCCAAAUAUAUCGGUAUCACCGGAUAUCCGGUAUCCAUUUUGAAGAAAUGUGUCGAACAGAGUAAUAUUACUAUAUCUUGCAUAUUGAGCUAUGCAAGGUACACAUUAAUAGACGAUAAUCUGAUGGAAUACAUUCCAUUCUUCAAGGCGAAAAAUAUUGGUAUAAUUAAUGCUGCAGCACCUUGUAUGGGACUUUUAACUAAUAAUGGCCCACCAGCUUGGCAUCCUAGUUCAGAACAAACAAAGAAAAUAUGUGCAGAUGCAGCAAAGUGUUGUAAGGAUCAUGAUACAGAAUUAGCUAAAUUAGCAUUGUGGCAUUCUCUUCAAUGUAAAGAUAUAGCUACAUAUUUAGUUGGAAUUCAGAAUUUAAAAGAAUUAAAUAUGAAUCUUGAUAUUCUUAAGAAUGGUAUUACAGAAAAAGAAAAAGCUCUCCUGCAAGAAAUUCAAGAGAAUUCCCGAUAUCCGAAUCUUUUAAACUGUCUGAUCUGACAUAGGAAUAUGCCCUACCAGCAUAUUUUUGUGAUACAUAAGUCCCCAGACUUUUUUAUCGCGCUUCAGCCUGAUAUCAAGCUGAUACUUGUGUAAAGUAACGGAAAAACAUUGGGAAAACAAAGAAGUUGAAAUAUAUUGGAAUAAUAUGAAAAAAUGAGAAAAUAUAUUUUUAUAAUUUUUUCAUACACAUUGUAAUGACCUCGAGCAAUGUGUUAAUAGUUGAAUUGUAUAAUAAACUUUCGAAAUAGAACUAUAUUUUCAAUA